GCGGGUGAAAAAGUAAAGACGCUGAGACUGUUAACGCCAGGGUACCUUGCCUUCUAUUCCUCUCCUUCCACCCGCAGGGAAGGCUGGGCCUCAGCUCCACUGCAGCCCUGGCCAAGUCCCCGAGGCCAGGCACGUCACAGAUGGGAGAAAGCCAAGCCCUAGGAGAUUAGGGAACCCGCCCAAGGCAAGCAACUGGAUCGCCUACAGAGUGCGCACAGAGAGGAGAAAAUGGAUACGACAGAGGUUAAGAAAAACCACACGGCCAGCUGUGUGGUGCAGACGGACAGAUCCCAGCAUUCCCCUUAGGGAUGAAGAAGCUCACACAAAGGGACGGAGUCCUAGAUGACAUGGGCUCCAGCGACACAAAGACCGGAUGCAACACCCAGGGCUGCUUUUACCAUGCCGCAGCCGAACACGCGUCCUCAGGAGUGAGACGCCACCGGGUACCUGGUCUUCCUGAGCAACCAGAACUGAAGGACAUCUGAUGCCUUAUCGCUGAUGCAGAAGCUGGAGCCACAGCUACUCACGGCUUUCGCCCGCAAGGACAGGCCCAUCCCACUUCCCAGAUGCUCUGUAACACUUUCCCGGACACCCUCAGGUGCAUGGCUUCCCCCUGUGGAAACCUCAAGGUUCCCAUCGGAUGCAGCAGCCUGGUGCGAGCUGGUAUGUAACGCUCUUCCCCCGAUAGGUUCUCAGGCAGCGGGGCCUGUCCUACUUACCUCUGUCUUCUUGAAGCCUGCCUCAUGACUGGGAACUCAGAUUCCUCCGAAAAAUAAACAUCUAAGGAGCUUACUCAGGCCACAGAGGCAACACAUUAAGAUGU